rnacentral:rRNA from 1 species
UACGUAGGGUGCGAGCGUUAAUCGGAAUUACUGGGCGUAAAGCGUGCGCAGGCGGUUUUGUAAGUCAGAUGUGAAAUCCCCGGGCUUAACCUGGGAAUGGCAUUUGGGACUGCAAGGCUUGAGUGCGGCAGAGGAGACUGGAAUUCCUGGUGUAGCAGUGAAAUGCGUAGAUAUCAGGAGGAACACCGAUGGCGAAGGCAGGUCCCUGGGCUGACACUGACGCUCAUGCACGAAAGCGUGGGGAGCAAACAGG